UACGUAGGGGGCAAGCGUUAUCCGGAUUUACUGGGUGUAAAGGGAGCGUAGACGGUGAUGCAAGUCAGAAGUGAAAGCCCGGGGCUCAACUCCGGGACUGCUUUUGAAACUGUGUGACUGGAGUGCAGGAGAGGUAAGCGGAAUUCCUGGUGUAGCGGUGAAAUGCGUAGAUAUAACUUAGAACUCCGAUAGCGAAGGCAGCUUACCAGACUGCGACUGACGCUGAAGCACGAGAGCGUGGGUAGCGAACAGG
rnacentral:rRNA from 1 species